UGACUUUCGCGUCGGACAGGUGAGUAACACGUGGGUAACCUGCCCAUAAGACUGGGAUAACUCCGGGAAACCGGGGCUAAUACCGGAUAACAUUUUGAACCGCAUGGUUCGAAAUUGAAAGGCGGCUUCCGCUGUCACUUAUGGAUGGACCCGCGUCCCAUUAACUAGUUGGUGAAGUAACGGCUCACCAAGGGAAAGGUGCGUAACCCAACUCAAAAGGUCAACCGCCCCCACACGAAUUGAAAAACGGCCAAAAGUCCAAUCGAGCCGGCAUACUGGAAUCUUCCCCAAUGGACGAGGGUCUGAGGGACCAGGGCUCGGUCAGUGAUGAAGGCUUUCCCGUCCUUUCACUCUGUUGUUAGGGAAAAACACCUGCCAGCUGAAGAAUCUGGCUUCUUGACGGUACACCCACCAUAAAGCGACGUCUAAGUAGGUGCCAACCCCCCGCGGUGGUACUUCGGGUGGGCAGCGUUUUCC
rnacentral:rRNA from 1 species